AAGGCUCAGUAUAACAGCUAUUAUUUAUUUGAUCGUAAACAUAGUUACUUGGAUAACUGUGGUAAUUCCAGAGCUAAUACAUGCAAACAACAUGGAUCACUGUAUCAAUAUGGUUGAAACAUGUGCUUUUAUUAGAUUAAAACCAUGUCCAUCUCGUAUGGGCUUGUUUUAGAUGAAUCUGGAUAAUUAUGGCUGAUCGUAUGGUCUUGCACCGACGAUAGAUCAUUCAAAUGUCUGCCCUAUCAACUAUUGAUGGUAGUAUAGAGGACUACCAUGGUUGCAACGGGUAACGGGGAAUCAGGGUUCGA
rnacentral:rRNA from 1 species